ensembl:lncRNA
CUCUAGAGAGAGCAGACAUCUUUCUGAAGAAUAAAUUAAGCAUUCAAUUAAACUCUACAACAGAUGCCUCACUCCAUUCUGCUUGCUCACUGUCUGAGCCUGUGCCUCCUGCUGCUAUAGUGACCCUCUGAGCUAACCCUGGAUGGAGAAACCUGUAACUCUCUCAUACUGGAAGCAUAACCAUCUUUCUGAGUAGCCUAACUGCUGGCUUCUGUAGUGGAUGGGGAUAAUGCUGUACCCUUCCAAACAAAAUGUUAAUAGACUAAUGAAGAAAAUUUAAUUCAAAUACCGAAGCUCCCAAAGGGCAAAGGAUCAUGCAUUUAGGCAGCACACAAAGUUUGUUUUACCACACAAUUGUCACCAAUGAAGUGACUAUGUUCUGCACAUGGAAACACACCAUCAAAAUCAAGACACCCUCCAGAAUCAGCCACACAGGUAUUGGCAUAGUACUUUAUAAAACAGUAAACAAGAGACCCAGAAGAUUUCUACUACCAAUUAUUUGUAUCACAAAAACAUAGACGUACAAGUAAAAAAAGAGCAUCAAUUUUUUACUUCACAAGUUUGAUUAUCUGAUCUUUUUCACUUAUUGAGAAGAUUAAAAAAUUAAUUUCUAUAUAUAUAAACACUAUAUUUCUGCCAGUUAUGUUUGGGCCCCGUAUUGAAGGUUCUGUAGUGGUAGGUGGCCUCAUCCUACCCAAGGAAAGGGAACCACAGUUAUCCCAUCAGUCAUCUUGUUACGUUCUGAUGUUGUUGUCCUGUGUGCACUACCUCUACAAGGACAGACAAGUUCACUGCAAUAGCUCUGGCUUUUAUUCCCAUUUGAAACACAAAGUUUCCGGUGGGUAACUGUUCUACCCUUUCUGGUCAGGAGGUAGAAAAAGUUCGGUCCUCUAUUUCACUUCAUUCACAAGCUUAUUUCAGACUUGCCAUCAACAGGCCUUGUUCAAGCAACAGAAAAAUCCAUAUUAACUCAGUUCUCUGUUUUCUACAUGUUAAGCAACAGUACAAUUCUUUCAGAUCUCAGAAAAAAUAAAAUUUUGACACAGAACUGACUGUAAAAAGAUGGGGGGAAAAAAAUUAGCCCAUUACGUCUUCCCUCUAAGCAUUCUUUACUGCUGAGCUUGUUCAGUACAUACAAAAUUCUGUGAACCGUAGAACUU